rnacentral:rRNA from 1 species
CGAACUUCCGUUAAUUGAUUAUGACGUACUUGUACUGAUUGAGAUUUUAACACGAAGUGAGUGGCGAACGGGUGAGUAACACGUGGGUAACCUGCCCAGAAGUAGGGGAUAACACCUGGAAACAGAUGCUAAUACCGUAUAACAGAGAAAACCGCAUGGUUUUCUUUUAAAAGAUGGCUCUGCUAUCACUUCUGGAUGGACCCGCGGCGUAUUAGCUAGUUGGUGAGGUAAAGGCUCACCAAGGCAGUGAUACGUAGCCGACCUGAGAGGGUAAUCGGCCACAUUGGGACUGAGACACGGCCCAGACUCCUACGGGAGGCAGCAGUAGGGAAUCUUCCACAAUGGACGCAAGUCUGAUGGAGCAACGCCGCGUGAGUGAAGAAGGGUUUCGGCUCGUAAAGCUCUGUUGUUAAAGAAGAACGUGGGUAAGAGUAACUGUUUACCCAGUGACGGUAUUUAACCAGAAAGCCACGGCUAACUACGUGCCAGCAGCCGCGGUAAUACGUAGGUGGCAAGCGUUAUCCGGAUUUAUUGGGCGUAAAGCGAGCGCAGGCGGUCUUUUAAGUCUAAUGUGAAAGCCUUCGGCUCAACCGAAGAAGUGCAUUGGAAACUGGGAGACUUGAGUGCAGAAGAGGACAGUGGAACUCCAUGUGUAGCGGUGAAAUGCGUAGAUAUAUGGAAGAACACCAGUGGCGAAGGCGGCUGUCUGGUCUGCAACUGACGCUGAGGCUCGAAAGCAUGGGUAGCGAACAGGAUUAGAUACCCUGGUAGUCCAUGCCGUAAACGAUGAUUACUAAGUGUUGGAGGGUUUCCGCCCUUCAGUGCUGCAGCUAACGCAUUAAGUAAUCCGCCUGGGGAGUACGACCGCAAGGUUGAAACUCAAAAGAAUUGACGGGGGCCCGCACAAGCGGUGGAGCAUGUGGUUUAAUUCGAAGCUACGCGAAGAACCUUACCAGGUCUUGACAUCUUCUGACAGUCUAAGAGAUUAGAGGUUCCCUUCGGGGACAGAAUGACAGGUGGUGCAUGGUUGUCGUCAGCUCGUGUCGUGAGAUGUUGGGUUAAGUCCCGCAACGAGCGCAACCCUUAUUACUAGUUGCCAGCAUUAAGUUGGGCACUCUAGUGAGACUGCCGGUGACAAACCGGAGGAAGGUGGGGACGACGUCAAAUCAUCAUGCCCCUUAUGACCUGGGCUACACACGUGCUACAAUGGAUGGUACAACGAGUCGCGAGACCGCGAGGUUAAGCUAAUCUCUUAAAACCAUUCUCAGUUCGGACUGUAGGCUGCAACUCGCCUACACGAAGUCGGAAUCGCUAGUAAUCGCGGAUCAGCAUGCCGCGGUGAAUACGUUCCCGGGCCUUGUACACACCGCCCGUCACACCAUGAGAGUUUGUAACACCCAAAGCCGGUGGG